AUUACCGCGGCUGCUGGCACGUAGUUAGCCGGGGCUUCCUCCUAUGGUACCGUCACCUUAUUCGUCCCAUAAGACAGAGCUUUACGAUCCGAAAACCUUCAUCACUCACGCGGCAUUGCUGGUUCAGGGUUUCCCCCAUUGACCAAUAUUCCCGACUGCUGCCUCCCGUAGG
rnacentral:rRNA from 1 species